rnacentral:rRNA from 2 species
CGCGGUGGUCCCACCUGACCCCAUGCCGAACUCAGAAGUGAAACGCCGUAGCGCCGAUGGUAGUGUGGGGUCUCCCCAUGCGAGAGUAGGGAACUGCCAGACA